rnacentral:rRNA from 1 species
UACGAAGGGGGCUAGCGUUGUUCGGAAUUACUGGGCGUAAAGCGCACGUAGGCGGAUACUUAAGUCAGGGGUGAAAGCCCAGGGCUCAACCUUGGAACUGCCUUUGAUACUGGCUAUCUUGAGUUCGGGAGAGGUGAGUGGAAUGCCGAGUGUAGAGGUGAAAUUCGUAGAUAUUCGGCGGAACACCAGUGGCGAAGGCGACUCACUGGCCCGAUACGUGACGCUGAGGCGCGAAAGCGUGGGGAGCAAACAGG